rnacentral:misc_RNA from 1 species
GAACGCACAUUGCGCCCCUUGGUAUUCCAUGGGGCAUGCCUGUUCGAGCGUCAUUUGUACCCUCAAGCUCUGCUUGGUGUUGGGUGUUUGUCCCGCUUUUCGCGUGGACUCGCCUUAAAACAAUUGGCAGCCGGCAUAUUGGCCUGGAGCGCAGCACAAUUUGCGCCUCUUGUCAUAAUUGUUGGCAUCCAUCAAGACCAUUUUUUGCUCUUGACCUCGGAUCAGGUAGGGAUACCCGCUGAACUUAAG